rnacentral:rRNA from 1 species
UACGGAGGGGGCUAGCGUUGUUCGGAAUUACUGGGCGUAAAGAGCGUGUAGGCGGCUUGACAAGUCUGCUGUGAAAACUUGAGGCUCAACCUCAAGCUGUCGGCGGAAACUGUCAGGCUAGAGUCCGGAAGAGGAGAGUGGAAUUCCUGGUGUAGCGGUGAAAUGCGCAGAUAUCAGGAAGAACACCUAUGGCGAAGGCAGCUCUCUGGGACGGUACUGACGCUGAGACGCGAAAGCGUGGGGAGCGAACAGG